rnacentral:lncRNA from 1 species
AAAAAACCUGGCGCGGCCCAAAUAGAGCGACAGGAGCAAAGAGGCGGCACGAGCACAGCCGACGGGCCGCCCGUGCGCCAUUGCAUUUUUCAAGAGCGGUUUGGCUACGCACCGCGCGACCCUUGGGCGCCUCGCAUUGCCCUACACCCCGGCACAGCCGGUGGCAUGGGCCCCUCGCGGUCCCAUCGGACCCCGCGGUCCUAUCGGUCCCAUUGGCCCUACCACACCUUGCGGUCCAAUACAGCCAGUGAUUCCUCUGUGCACCCAUGCGACAUGGCCCUCGCACUGUAGGUCGAGCAAGAGGUCGGCGAGGGCGCGCGCCGAAAGGCCUAUGGCCCUUGCGGCCAAGGCAUCCGAUAGGCGGUCCGAAUCUUGGUUGCUCGUCGUGACCCAAGUUUGCCACGCGCCGUUGUUGCGCAGCCAGUGCGCGACGGCAGGGUCGAGCACUGCUUGGAAGGCCGGGGUGAACUUGACCCUGCCGGUGUAGCCGCAAAGCAUGCUCAACAGGUCGGUACGACCCAAAAGCGCCGCGACAAAGUGCGCAGGCGCAUUGGGAUGCCGUGACAAAAGCGAUUCCAUGUCGGCCAAGGGCAGUAUGGUCGCGCCCACCAUGAGCGUCCAUCCGUCGACGGGACAGCCCAUGCGUUCAAGGCGCUCCAAGAGAUUGAUGCCGCCAUAGGCGACCGACGCCGCAGCCAAUAUCGGCCCGAGCACGUCGUUGCCGCCCGUGUUGAUGAUAUGGCCAAACACCUCAAGGUGGCCGCCGCGCAAGGCCGCCACGGCCGUGUCCUGGCUCCACGGGCUCUGUUCCGCCUCGCGGAGCCAGUCGACGAGCGCUUUGUGACCGCCGCCGGCCGCGUGGUCGAUCGUCUCUCGUCGCAGACCCAUGCGGCCAGUGAGAGGACCGCGCAUGCCGCCCACGUCGACCAGCGCGAUGGCUGCCGCUCGCCAGCGGUGGCAUACGCGCGCCGCCACCUCGAUCGACCCCUCGGGCAGGCGGGCCAAAAGGUGGGCCAAAAUCUCUUCGGGCAACCCGUUUAUCGCGUCCUCGCUCGUCUCCUGUCCUCGCCCGUCCAUGGUCUCUGUCGUCGGGACAAUGGGGUGUAAGUGGGCUUGUGUUUGUUUGGGUCAAGGGCCAUUGUUGAACAAUAAACCCAGCAAGGGGCGAUGCUGGCGCGCGCCCGCAGUGCCGUG